GACGAACGCUGGCGGCGUGCUUAACACAUGCAAGUCGAGCGGUAAGGCCCUUUCGGGGGUACGACGAGCGGCGAACGGGUGAGUAACACGUGGGUGACCUGCCCUCAGCUCUGGGAGUAAGACCUGGGAAACCGGGUACUAAUACUGGAUAUGACUCCAUGACGCAUGUUGUGGGGUGGAAAGCCUUGUGCGGCUGAGGAUGGGCCCGCGGCCUAUCAGCUUGUUGGUGGGGUGANGGGCCUACCAAGGCGACGACGGGUAGCCGGCCUGAGAGGGCGACCGGCCACACUGGGACUGAGACAC
rnacentral:rRNA from 1 species